rnacentral:rRNA from 2 species
UUGCAUAUCAAUAAGCGGAGGAAAAGAAACCAACAGGGAUUGCCCUAGUAACGGCGAGUGAAGCGGCAACAGCUCAAAUUUGAAAUCUGGCGCAAGCCCGAGUUGUAAUUUGUAGAGGAUGCUUCUGGCCAGCGGCCGUUCUAAGUUCCUUGGAACAGGACGUCAUAGAGGGUGAGAAUCCCGUAUGUGACCGGCGCGCAGCCUUUACGUAGCUCCUUCGACGAGUCGAGUUGUUUGGGAAUGCAGCUCUAAAUGGGAGGUAAAUUUCUUCUAAAGCUAAAUACCGGCCAGAGACCGAUAGCGCACAAGUAGAGUGAUCGAAAGAUGAAAAGCACUUUGGAAAGAGAGUUAAAAAGCACGUGAAAUUGUUGAAAGGGAAGCGCUUGCAACCAGACUUCGUAGCGAUGUUCCGCCGGUCUUCUGACCGGUCUACUCAUCGUCGCGAGGCCAACAUCGUCUGGGGCCGCCGGAUAAGACCUAAGGAAUGUAGCUUCCCUCGGGAAGUGUUAUAGCCUUUGGUGAUGCGGCKCGUCUCGGGCGAGGUCCGCGCUUUCGGCAAGG